AAGGGAACCUUGAGGAAGUGACGUCACUUCCUUGGAGACAGACCCCAACAGAACUUAGCACAGUGGUCUCCAGGAGCCCACAUUCUAGACGUAGCAUCCUAUCGAGCCCACGUGAGUGGCAACACUGAAGAGAAGAGGAUGUUCUCCUGUAGUCUCCCGAGUUGUGGAGGCUCUGGCUUCAGGAAAGCCAAGAAAAAGAGCCUUUUCAGUCACUAUAGGCACUGGCUUCGCCCUCACCUGCACUGCCUCUGGCCAAUUGGCAGGAGGAACACUCAGAGAUGCAUGCAGGAGGCGGUUGAAGAGCCGGCAGAUGGCUUCGGGUACUCCAUCUCCCUGGACAGGGGGCAGCUCCACCGCACCAACAAUAGUGACCAGGGCUGCUCUGAGGUGACAGUGGGCACAAAGGGGUCUUCCCACCCAGAGCCCUGAGAUGACCAGGGCCGGCCCAGAAUCCAAAUUCAAACUCAGGUUCUCCUGCCCAUCCUUGGCCGAUCAUUCCCUCCGUUCUCUCCUAUGGAGCCUCUACAUAUGGCAACUGAAAACAUGCACACUUGCUCCCCUAGUUCCAGAGAUAUAUGAUGCAGAGAGAGAGGGAGAUGGAAACAUGAGGAGGGAAAGAGGGGGGUCUGCAGAAAAUGAGUAAGAAGGAAGGGCCAGGCUUUUUGUUCUUAGCCCUUGGUAGUGUGCCAUCCCAUCACCUUGGCUGCAUUCUGUUGUUCAGAAGCCAGUUCCUAACCACUGUGUGGUUUCAGAAGGAUGCACACAACAGAAGACAGUGAGCACCGGGAGCCGUGGUGGAGGCUGCCCACCACAUAGGCCGACAAAAGGCAGUUGGGUCUGAUUCUAAGUCAAACAGGAGACCAUGCAAGGUUUCAUGCCAGUGAACAGAAAUAUCUGAAUUUCCCAUAAUUUCCACCUCUUAAAGGUGCAGAUCUGGAAAUGAGGUGACAUUUGCUGUGAGCAGAGUGACAGAUGAGAGGCAUGCUGCCUGUGUCUGGUAACAGUUUCAGUGUCAGGGAGAAGGUACCACUUGUGCAGAGACUCACAGGAAAAAGUGAGUGGGACCAGAGGAGGGCAGAAAGGUGGUGGUGUGGCCAGAAGGAGCCU
rnacentral:lncRNA from 1 species